ncrna:unclassified sequences MISL RNA
GCCUUCGGGCCACCUCGCGCUGGUGCGGAUUCAGUUCGCAAAAACCGUGGGAUCGGCCGUGAGGGGCGAUUUAAGAGCCGCCCUGAAUCUGGAUGAAGCAACAUCCGGGCGUCGCAGCCCUGAAUUUCGGAGCGAUUCUUGAAGGACUUCUGCUUGGUUCGCCAGGCGGUGGUCCAGACAGUUGAGCUUGGUUAUUCGUUCUGGGAUGUGAUGUGGAGUUAGGGUCCAAGCACGCUCUGGGCGCGGACCUGAUUGCAGUUGCCCACUGGGUGACGGUUGCUACUGUAACACCAGCACGGUGAGAAUCAAAAGUUGGCCGAGUACGGCCAGCCGAACGAAAUCCGCCUUGGCGGGACAAAGUCGGGGUUCCCAUCGGGAAAGCCACGCGCUUGAAGACAGAAGCCGUGAAAACUUUCCACCCCGGCGGCGAUGUGAAACACGCAGCGCUGCCAUGCGAGAUAAAUGCAACCUGAGAGGUAAGAGGCGAGACCCGUGGCACGGGCCAACGCACCGCCAAAAACGGUGGCUGACCUUGUGCUAAGCGGCAAAGAGGUGGACAUACUUGCAAAUGUCUCUUUGCCUGGUCUGCAGGUUCAAGGCGCAACCUUGAGCUGAGCGGGCGAAUAAGCCUCACUCGAUAAUUCAGUUGCCGCAAGGCGCUGGACGGCCCCGCUAUGAGGCCGACAACCCCGAAUGUCACGGAGAGUAGCGUCGGGGAGCCAUCGACCUGCAAUGCAGGUGCCCAACGAUGGCACUGGGAAAGAGAGCGUGGCGCACUCC